UACGUAGGGGGCGAGCGUUGUCCGGAUUUAUUGGGCGUAAAGAGCGUGUAGGCGGCCAGGUAGGUCUGCUGUGAAAACUCGAGGCUCAACUUCGAGCUGUCGGCGGAAACUAUCUGGCUAGAGUCCGGAAGAGGAGAAUGGAAUUCCUGGUGUAGCGGUGAAACGCGCAGAUAUCAGGAAGAACACCCGUGGCGAAGGCGGCUCACUGGCCCGGUACUGACGCUGAGGUGCGAAAGCGUGGGGAGCAAACAGG
rnacentral:rRNA from 1 species